AUGGCGGGCGCCAUCUUCAUGUCCAACAGCGAGACAAGGGAUCACUGCUUCAACACGGGAGUCUUCGGGCUACCGCUAGAGUACGGGCCCUUUGUGGCCAAUGUCAAGCAGGGGAUGCCCCUGUUCCUCUUUGACUACAAAUUCUGUAAGCUUUAUGGUGUCUUCAAGGCCGCCUCGGAUGGCGGCAUGGAUAUUAGCAGGACCGCGUUCCGGUCCACCGUCGCACGUACCCCGCACAAGUCCAGAGAACUCGAGAAAGUCGUACAGCUAUAUGGCUUAUUUGACAAAAAGAGGGUAGAGCACCCUAUUUGCAAUUAUUCAACAAGUGCUAAUCUGGAAAAGGAGCACUCAAGAAGAAGGAGACCACACAAAAGGAGCUUGACUCCAAAUAGUCCUCUUUUUUCUGCUGAUCGUUCCCACACUUUGAUACCCUCGAGUACCCCAAAGAUCUCAACUGUCGAAACAAACUGCUCUUCUUCUACAAGCAUGCAUCUAAUUGUACCACCUACUUUUGAGACACAGCCAAGUGUGUCGAUGCCCUUGGUAACUAAACCUUUUGGAGUCCAGACUGCUCCCAUCCAGAGCAACCAAAUAAAACUACCUUAUCAUAGUCAAGAACAUCUCCGAGAUGUUUCAGCAAUAGGUGGCACUUCAACUCAGGUGUCUGCUCCUUACUCUCAGACAACUAUAUACCACCAAGAUCAGUUUGUGGCAAAUCAGUCGUACCCAUCAUCUGAUGAUUAUCCGCACAAUAGCUUGUCUUCUGGGUGCAUGACACAAGGUCGAACUGAUGGAGUUAGGUUUUCAGUAAAGCAGUCAUAUGGAGGCAGUAGCUUCAAGAGUAUAAGUCCUAGAGAAGAUGUUUGUAAACAGCUGGUCCAUGAACAGGACAUGGACAUGCCCUGUCCUCCUGCAGAGCUAAACCUGCCAAGUGGACUAGAAGGAGAAGAAUGCGCAGAUCCUCCCUUCUUGAACUUCAAGAGGCGCAACAAAGCGGCUGGGCUGGAUACAGAUGUAGGACAGGAGGUUAGUGACAAAAAGAAGAGAAGAAAGCUUGUGCGCCCUUCUUUUGGAGAAAAUAACAUUACUGGUAUUUCUGACCUCCAAGGGAAUGCCAUAGUUGAAGUGUGCCCUUCACUCGAAGAAAAUAUAACUACUGGUAAUUCUGGAAAUGUCCUCCAGGGGAAUGCCAUUACGGAAAGGAAUCAAAGCCCUGCUUCCAUAGUUGAAAGGAAUCAAAGCUCUGCUUCCAUACUUGAAAUGAAUCAUAGCCCUGCUGACAUAAUUGAAAGGAAUCAAAGCUCCGCUUCCAUAGUUGGAAUGAAUCAUAGCCCUGCUGCCAUACUUGGAAGGAAUCAAAGCCCUGCUUCCAUAGUUGAAAGGAAUCAAAGCCCUGCUGCCAUAAUUGAAAGGAAUCAAAGCCCUGUCAAAAUUGAUGGUAACAAGUUCAUCAUUGACCUAAAUGAACCGGCAUCUGUAGAAAGUGAGCUGGCAGAGGAUGGUAGCAUUGCACCGUGUCCUGUUGCUGCCAACAUACAGACAGAGAAAUCGUGUGAUGUAGAUGUGAAAAAGCAAAAACUGCUCAAAUUCGGCUAA
rnacentral:rRNA from 1 species